CCUACGGGAUGCAGCAGUGGGGAAUCUUGCGCAAUGGGCGGAAGCCUGACGCAGCGACGCCGCGUGCGGGACGAAGGCCUUCGGGUCGUAAACCGCUUUCAGCAGGGACGAGGCCCUCACGGUGACGGUACCUGCAGAAGAAGCCCCGGCUAACUACGUGCCAGCCGCCGAGGUAAUACAUAGGGGGCGAGGGUUGUGCGGAUUCAUUGGGCGUAAGGCGCGCGUAGGCGGCCUGUUAAGUCGGGGGUCAAAUACCGGGGCUCAACCCAGGUACGACCCCGAAACCGGCAGGCGUGAGUCUGGUAGGGGAAGGCGGAAUUCCCAGUGUAGCGGUGGAAUGCGCAGAUAUUGGGAAGAACACCGGCGGCGAAGGCGGCCUUCUGGGCCGCGACUGACGCUGAGGCGCGAAAGCUAGGGGAGCGAACAGGAUUAGAUACCCUAGUAGUC
rnacentral:rRNA from 1 species